AAUGUAGCGUUCGGUAGGAGAGUAAAAUUUAAACGCGCGGUCAUUAGUCACGGCUGCCAGUCCAAGUUCAUCUUGAACGGGGCCGCUUACCCGUAGAGGGUGCCAGGCCCGUGGUGACGGUAGCCGGCCGCGACGGUCUCCCUACCCAGAGUCGGGUUGCUUGAGAGUGCAGCCCUAAGCGGGUGGUAAACUCCAUCUAAGGCUAAAUACUACCACGGGACCGAUAGCGAACAAGUACCGUGAGGGAAAGUUGAAAAGAACUUUGAAGAGAGAGUUAAAGAGUACGUGAAACCGUUCAGGGGUAAACCUGUGGAACUCAAACGAGCGAACGGGGAGAUCAUCUCGAUUCGACAGGCGCGGCCUGCGCUCCGCCCCUCACCUCCGCGUUAGCCUCUCAAGGGCGGCGCGGGGGGUGGGCGGUAGCGUGUAUCGGCCCCCGGAGCGAGUGCACUUCUCCUUCAGUAUAACACCGCGACCCGUCGCACUGCCGUCGAACGCGCCGUGCGGUUGACCCGGCUCGCAACGCGAGCCGGAGCCGCGGCGCUCGCGGCGGCGGUCCAAUCGGAGCAAUUCGAGAGCGACGGUAGAGAACGAGGAUCGAGUCCGCCGCCCCCACGGGGGCGGCGUCCGUGGCCCCUCAGCGGCGUCCGGCACCCGGCCCCCGGCGCUUCGCGCGUCGCGGGCGUCGAGAGCCGCGUCGUCCGCGUUAGAGCGGGCCCUCUCGGACGGGACCCGUCCCGGUCUGCGGUGGUUUUGUUUUGGGCACUCACAGGACCCGUCUUGAAACNCGGACCAAGGAGUCUAGCAUGUGCGCGAGUCAUUGGGAACACAGAUAAACCCAGAGGCGCAAUGAAAGUGAAAGGCGGGGCCUCGCGCCCCGCCACCAGGGAAGAUGCCCGGUCGACCUCGAGUGCGACCCGCCGCAUUCCCGAGGCGUUUCGAGAAAGCCACCGUGCGAGUAUCGAGACGCACUGAGAGCGUACACGCUGGGACCCGAAAGAUGGUGAACUAUGCCUGGUCAGGUCGAAGUCAGGGGAAACCCUGAUGGAGGACCGAAGCGAUUCUGACGUGCAAAUCGAUCGUCGGAACUGGGUAUAGGGGCGAAAGACUAAUCGAACUAUCUAAUAGCUGGUUCCAUCCGAAGUUUCCCUCAGGAUAGCUGGCGCUCGAAAAACAUGCGCGUUUGCGCAUUCGAACAGUCUCAUCCGGUAAAGCGAAUGAUUAGAGGCAUUGGGGCCGAAAUGGCCUCAACCUAUUCUCAAACUUUAAAUGGGUGAGAUCUCCGUCUUGCUCGAAGAUGAAGUCGGAGCUCGGAUGGGAGUGCCAAGUGGGCCAAUUUUGGUAAGCAGAACUGGCGCUGUGGGAUGAACCAAACGUCGAGUUAAGGCGCCCAAUGAACGCUCAUCGGAGACCAUAAAAGGCGUUGGUCGCUCAGGACAGCAGGACGGUGGCCAUGGAAGUCGGAAUCCGCUAAGGAGUGUGUAACAACUCACCUGCCGAAGCAACCAGCCCUGAAAAUGGAUGGCGCUGUAGCGUUCAGCCUAUACUCGACCGUCGCAGGCAAGGGGGGCGCGCCGGGCCCUCGGGCACGGCGCGCCUUGAGGCCGCGACGAGUAGGAUGGCCGCGGCGGUGUGCGCAGAAGGGUCUGGGCGUGAGCCCGCCUGGAGCCUCCGUCGGCGCAGAUCUUGGUGGUAGUAGCAAAUACUCAAGCGAGGUCCUUGAGGGCUGAUGUGGAGAAGGGUUUCGCGUUAACAGCCGUUGCACGCGAGUUAGUCGAUCCUAAGCCCUAGGAGAGAUCCGAUGUUGAUGACGGUGUGAAGUUAUUGAUAUAUAUGUAUGUGUAUACAAAAUGAGUACACCCGUCGGGCGAAAGGGAAUCCGGUUGCAGUUCCGGAACCCGGCUGCGGAACCGUCUUAAAAAUCGUUCCCUCGCAAGAGAGUUCGUCGGGGUGACCCAAAAUGGCCUGAAGACGCCGACGGGAGAUCCGGAGAGAGUUAUCUUUUCUGCCUGAGCGUUCGAGCGCCCUGGAAUCCUAUAGCGGGGAGAUAGGGCUCGGGACGCGAAGAGCAUNNNNNNNNNNNNNNNNNNNNNNNNNNNNNNNNNNNNNNNNNNNNNNNNNNNNNNNNNNNNNNNNNNNNNNNNNNNNNNNNNNNNNNNNNNNNNNNNNNNNCGUCACCCGGCGCCUCGCCUUGGCUGCCCCUCGGAUCUUCCUCGCUGUGUGGUGCAGGCGCGUKCGCGCGCGUCCUGUCACCWGUACGGCCGCCGGACGACGGUCAACUCAGAACUGGCACGGACAAGGGGAAUCCGACUGUCUAAUUAAAACAAAGCAUUGCGAUGGCCCUCGCGGGUGUUGACGCAAUGUGAUUUCUGCCCAGUGCUCUGAAUGUCAAUGUGAAGAAAUUCAAUUAAGCGCGGGUAAACGGCGGGAGUAACUAUGACUCUCUUAAGGUAGCCAAAUGCCUCGUCAUCUAAUUAGUGACGCGCAUGAAUGGAUUAAC
rnacentral:rRNA from 1 species